UUCAUGUUGCUCAGUCAGUAGAGCAUUGUGUUGGGAACACAAAAGUUGUGGGUUCAACCCACAGGAAA